UUAGCAACUAACCACUUCCUUUUUCUCUGCGCCUCCCACACAAAUACACAUAAAGGCUGUGAUCAUUCUAUUUUUCUGUCAGAUGGUCAUGAUGUUCAGCCGAGACCAAGCAGCUCUUCUCUCCGUUCAGCUGAUGUUUAUGUGCCGCGUCUUUGCAGAACCUCCAGCAGUUCAGCACAGAAAUAAAGUGGUGUCCAGCGGAGACUCCAUUAAGUUCACUUGCAACACAAAUAUAACAGAAAUGGCAGCGAAAGAUGUAACACAUAUCAAAUGGACAAAAGACACAUUUCUUUUUUCGCAGGAUAUUGUGAACAAUCAGACUUUUUCAAAUUUCAUAUCUGACAAAGUGAAAAUAGACACUCGCUUUCCUUUUAAUCUGAUUAUUUUUAGUGCUCAGUAUCAUGAUGCUGGACUCUUUACAUGUCAUCUAACUAGGAAAAACACACCAUCGACUGUUGUAUGGAAUUUAACUGUGUCUGAGAAAUCUGAAAAGUCUGAAGAAAUAAACAGCAAAGUUUGGUAUUUUGUGUACAUACUCCCAGUUGUAACUGGAUUACUCCUAUGUGGUAUCACCUCAGCUGUGUGCAUCUCGAGUUGGGCUGAUACCCCAGAAAAGGCACAAUAUGCCACCAGGACCAUGUCGCAUGCCCUUUAUUGUGCUCAGUUGAGAGGAAAGGUAUCUCAACCCCGACGAUGGGCGGAUUAGAGACCAAUCAUAUCCGGAUGUCAGCAACCAGAGGGCUGCUACUGAGCUGCUACUGAGGCAUGACGCUCACACCUGUGCUAAAUAGGAAACAAGAUAUUUUAAGUACAAGAGAUGACAUGUUUGAAAAACACGUGAAUCAGGCCAGUACAAUAGAAGAGAUAAUAGAAUAGAAUACAGCAAAAUGUGACAUUUAAUCUUGCAAAUCAAUAAUUCAAACAAGCUUUAACUUGGUUUCAGAAACUUCAUACAUGGUUGGGUAUAGGAACCCAAUGUGCCUGUUGUUUUGAUGAGGUUUCUUUCAUUCAUUUGUUUGCUUUGUUUUGUUUUGAAUGACUUUGUAGUAUUUAUACAUGUAUCCAAUGAAAACAUGUAUACAGUGUGUAUAUAGUAUCUGCAGAUCAUGAUAAAGGCGGGAUUUAGUUUGAAAACAAAGGCAGAUUAAUUCAGGUGAACUCAUGGUCAGGUGGUGAUGUUCAGUGUAUAUGAUUUACAUUUUAAAAAGCUGAAAGUGGGCUCAAAUCAAAGUGAAGUUCUUUACUAUUGUAAAAUGCAUUCACAAAUACGAUAACUGUAGUGUUCUCAGCAGCCAGCAGGUGGCAACAUUUUACUACAAAUGGUGAUAAAAAAAACUGGUUUUACGUUUUAUGUUACUCUGUUCGCUUCGAUUUGAAUAUGCCUGAAAAAUAAGAACAUUUUGAUGAUGGUGAUCUAACAGGUGUGAACCUGUUCUUCUAUUCAUAUAUAAAUAUCUGACUGCAAUGGCUAAGUGUAAAGUUUUCAUCCUUGUCCUGGAUUUCAUACAGCCUUUCAUUAAUCACUGUCAAUGAGACAAUGAGACAAUGAGACAAUGACACACUAUUCCCAUGGACAAGAAGCCAGCCACACUGUCUCGUUGUUUCAGCACCUUGCACAUUCCUGUGUCCGAGGUCAGCAAGUACAAUUACUGUCAGCUGCUUGUAGUUACUCUUAUAACUUACAAGUUUGGGAUGGUUAAACUUUAAAGUGGUAGAUAGAUAGGUAGAUACUUUAAUGAUCACCAAGACAAUUUAACAUUAACAGCAGCUUGACAAGGGAAAAAUAAUAGUGUAAUGAAGAGGUGCUAAACUGUAGAAUAAAGUAUAUG
ensembl:lncRNA